ensembl:snRNA RNU6-255P RNA, U6 small nuclear 255, pseudogene
GUGCUCACUUCAGCAGCAUAUAUACUAAAUAUUGGAAUGAUACAAAGAUUAACAUGGCCCCUGCACAAGAAUAAAAUGCAAAUUUGUGAAGUAUUCCAUUAAAAA